CUACGGGGGGCAGCAGUGGGGAAUAUUGCACAAUGGGCGAAAGCCUGAUGCAGCAACGCCGCGUGAGUGAUGAAGGUUUUCGGAUCGUAAAACUCUGUUCUAAGGGAAGAUAAUGACGGUACCUUAGGAGAAAGCCCCGGCUAACUACGUGCCAGCAGCCGCGGUAAUACGUAGGGGGCAAGCGUUAUCCGGAAUUACUGGGCGUAAAGGGUGCGUAGGUGGCCUGACAAGUCAGGGGUCAAAGGCAACGGCUCAACCGUUGUAAGCCCUUGAAACUGUCGGGCUUGAGUUCAGGAGAGGAAAGCGGAAUUCCAAGUGUAGCGGUGAAAUGCGUAGAUAUUUGGAGGAACACCAGUGGCGAAGGCGGCUUUCUGGACUGAUACUGACACUGAGGCACGAAAGCGUGGGGAGCAAAUAGGAUUAGAUACCCGAGUAGUC
rnacentral:rRNA from 1 species